rnacentral:tRNA from 1 species
GUCAGCAUGGUGUAGUAGUUUAAGCAUUGGACUAUGACUCUAGAGACUAGGGUUCAAAUCCCUGCUCGGCCA